rnacentral:rRNA from 1 species
UGGGGAAUUUUGCACAAUGGGGGAAACCCUGAUGCAGCGACGCCGCGUGAUUUAGAAGGCCUUCGGGUUGUAAAAAUCUUUUCUAUGGGAAGAAAAUGACAGUACCAUAGGAAUAAGGACCGGCUAAUUACGUGCCAGCAGCCGCGGUAAUACGUAAGGUCCGAGCGUUGUCCGGAAUCAUUGGGCGUAAAGGGUACGUAGGCGGGUAAGCAAGUUAGAAGUGAAAUCCUAUAGCUCAACUAUAGUAAGCUUUUAAAACUGCUCAUCUUGAGGUAUGGAAGGGAAAGUGGAAUUCCUAGGGUAGCGGUUAAAUGCGCAGAUAUUAGGGGGAAUACCGGUGGCGAAGGCGACUUUCUGGCCAUAACCUGACGCUGAGGUACGAAAGCGUGGGUAGCAAACAGG